rfam:Homo sapiens chromosome 8, GRCh38 reference primary assembly.
GGGAAACGGCAAGAGGGGCCAGCCCCAGGCCCCACAACAAAGUGGGGCA